UUGAUGGAGAGUUUGAUUCUGGCUCAGAACGAACGCUGGCGGCGUGGAUAAGACAUGCAAGUCGAACGAGAGAAUUGCUAGCUUGCUAAUAAUUCUCUAGUGGCGCACGGGUGAGUAACACGUGAGUAACCUGCCCCGAGAGCGGGAUAGCCCUGGGAAACUGGGAUUAAUACCGCAUAGUAUCGAAAGAUUAAAGCAGCAAUGCGCUUGGGGAUGGGCUCGCGGCCUAUUAGUUAGUUGGUGAGGUAACGGCUCACCAAGGCGAUGACGGGUAGCCGGUCUGAGAGGAUGUCCGGCCACACUGGAACUGAGACACGGUCCAGACACCUACGGGUGGCAGCAGUCGAGAAUCAUUCACAAUGGGGGAAACCCUGAUGGUGCGACGCCGCGUGGGGGAAUGAAGGUCUUCGGAUUGUAAACCCCUGUCAUGUGGGAGCAAAUUAAAAAGAUAGUACCACAAGAGGAAGAGACGGCUAACUCUGUGCCAGCAGCCGCGGUAAUACAGAGGUCUCAAGCGUUGUUCGGAAUCACUGGGCGUAAAGCGUGCGUAGGCUGUUUCGUAAGUCGUGUGUGAAAGGCGCGGGCUCAACCCGCGGACGGCACAUGAUACUGCGAGACUAGAGUAAUGGAGGGGGAACCGGAAUUCUCGGUGUAGCAGUGAAAUGCGUAGAUAUCGAGAGGAACACUCGUGGCGAAGGCGGGUUCCUGGACAUUAACUGACGCUGAGGCACGAAGGCCAGGGGAGCGAAAGGGAUUAGAUACCCCUGUAGUCCUGGCAGUAAACGGUGCACGCUUGGUGUGCGGGGAAUCGACCCCCUGCGUGCCGGAGCUAACGCGUUAAGCGUGCCGCCUGGGGAGUACGGUCGCAAGAUUAAAACUCAAAGAAAUUGACGGGGACCCGCACAAGCGGUGGAGUAUGUGGCUUAAUUCGAUGCAACGCGAAGAACCUUACCUGGGCUUGACAUGUAAUGAACAACAUGUGAAAGCAUGCGACUCUUCGGAGGCGUUACACAGGUGCUGCAUGGCCGUCGUCAGCUCGUGUCGUGAGAUGUUUGGUUAAGUCCAGCAACGAGCGCAACCCCUGUUGCCAGUUACCAGCACGUGAAGGUGGGGACUCUGGCGAGACUGCCCAGAUCAACUGGGAGGAAGGUGGGGACGACGUCAGGUCAGUAUGGCCCUUAUGCCCAGGGCUGCACACGUACUACAAUGCCCAGUACAGAGGGGGCCGAAGCCGCGAGGCGGAGGAAAUCCUAAAAACUGGGCCCAGUUCGGACUGUAGGCUGCAACCCGCCUACACGAAGCCGGAAUCGCUAGUAAUGGCGCAUCAGCUACGGCGCCGUGAAUACGUUCCCGGGUCUUGUACACACCGCCCGUCACAUCAUGGAAGCCGGUCGCACCCGAAGUAUCUGAAGCCAACCGCAAGGAGGCAGGGUCCUAAGGUGAGACUGGUAACUGGGAUGAAGUCGUAACAAGGUAGCCGUAGGGGAACCUGCGGCUGGAUCACCUCCUUU
rnacentral:rRNA from 1 species